UACGUAGGGUGCAAGCGUUAAUCGGAAUUACUGGGCGUAAAGCGUGCGCAGGCGGUUUUGUAAGUCUGUUGUGAAAUCCCCGGGCUCAACCUGGGAAUGGCAAUGGAGACUGCAAGGCUAGAGUUUGGCAGAGGGGGGUAGAAUUCCACGUGUAGCAGUGAAAUGCGUAGAUAUGUGGAGGAACACCGAUGGCGAAGGCAGCCCCCUGGGUCAAAACUGACGCUCAUGCACGAAAGCGUGGGGAGCAAACAG
rnacentral:rRNA from 1 species